rnacentral:lncRNA from 1 species
GGAAUUGAUGGGCUUGCCUUGGAGGACCUUAAGGUCCUUCUGAUGACCUUGGCUUUUACUCUGAUAUGGGAGCCAUUGGAAAGUUUUGAGUGGAGAAAGGACAUGGGUCUGAUUUUUUUUUAAUAUUUAUUUUUUAGUUUUAGGUGAACACAAUAUCUUUUUAAAAAAAUAUUUUUUAGUUGUAGUUGGAAACAAUACCUUUAUUUAUUUUCAUGUGGUGCUGAGGAUCAAACCCAGGGCCUUGUUAUGUGCUAGGCAAGCGCUCUACUGCUGAGCCACAAACCCAGCCCCUGGACACAAUAUCUUUAUUUUACAUGUAUGUGGUGCUGAGGAUUGAACCCAGUGUUUCUUGCAUGCUAGGCGAGCACUCUACCAUUGAGCCAUAACCCCAGUCCAUGGAUCUGAUUUCUUUUUAAAACAGAAUCUCUUUAGCUACUAUAUGGAAAAAAUAUUUGAAGAAAUGCAGAAUAGUAGCAAGAGUCUAUUUAGGAGGUGACUGAGUUUUCUUCUGAACAUUAACUGAGAAGGGGAAGGCUGUGGAAGGAGCAGGUUUUGGUGGUGAGUUGGAGAGGAGGAAGUAGAUCAGAUACAACAUCAAUUUGAGAUGUCUAUUAGGCAUCCCAAUGGAGAUGUCAAGAAAGCAGGUAGAGCCUGUUAUGGUGGCGCACACCUGCAAUCCCAGCUACCUGGAGGCUGAGGCAGGAGGAUCAUCCAUUCUAGGCCAGCAUCUGCAAUUUAAUGAGACCCUGUCUCAAAAUAUGAAAGUGGGCUAGGGAUGUAGCUCAG